rnacentral:lncRNA from 1 species
ACCCCAGAACUCGGUGUCACAAGUACAUGAGCAAUUUCUAAGAAAUUAAACAAAUACAACUGUCUAGAAUACAAUUGGACAGAAAGUAAAUAAAAUUCUGAAAUAAACUAUACUAGCUGCGGAAUCGCCUCGCGAUAACGCAGCUCACCUAGUCUCUGCGUCAACCAUGCUGCUAUGCCACUAAGUCACUGGCCACAUGUAGACCUGUGCAACAAAAAUAUACAGAACUGUAAUAUGAGUACGAAAAUCAACGUGUACUCAAUGAGUAUCUCGCCUAAUCUCGAAGAAGUUGAGACGAUAGGGUCAAUUUUGGUACUUACUAAUGGUCCAAUAAGGAUAUAUGAUAAUAAGGCGGGGGAAUCAUGGAUUCACGUAACAGUUUUAACUCACAAGCAGGUAAACAGAUAAACACCUUUUACAUCAAUAAAUGAAAUUUUAUGUUUUUUUCUUUUAUCUUUAGCAAUUUAUAUCGGGUCUAUAGGCAAUGUCAAUAUUAAAUAUCUCAAGCGAACAACAUAAAUAUGCGCAAAUCAUGCCGAAGAGACGGCCCGCUACAAUAGAAAUAUAAAUUGUGCACUAUCGAGGAUCGAACUGCCCGAAACAAUAGAGGCAUCUAUUUCCCCUGCUCACAAAUCAUCCAUGCGACACGGUCAACUAAAAGUAAGCAAAUAUCCUGCUCGCAAAUCAUCCAUGCAAUGCAAUAAACAUAAAGUAAAAAAAUACCCUGCUCGCGAAUCAUCCAUGCGACGCAGUUACACACAGAAAUAAAUGCUCAAACAGUCAAUUAAGAAUUAUCGAGAAAUAUUUAUCCAAAUAAAACUAAUCCUCUUUUAACAGUUUUAAGAAAACAACGUUUAUUCCUUUUAGAAAUUUAUUUUCAAAUUCUAUAUGAUUUAAGCAAUUCGGGAUGUCAAUAAGAUUGUAAAUAUUCCAAGUAUAGCAUGCUUUUGGGUCCUAAACUACCUGGACAAUAGCAUAAUAAUAGCUACGCACAGACUCUCGUCACCUCAUGCGUACGCAGCCCCCACAAAUAGGACACAUAGCUAAUUAACUCACCUAUGGGGAUAAUUCGCUCUUACAAGGUUAGAAAUGAGACUCACCUCGCUCUGAAUAUCCUUAGCCGGCAUUCUACAUUCUUUCGAAGACUUGAACAAAUGCAAAAAUACUCUAAAACUAGCCAAUGAUUAUACAAAUCUAUUAAUAAAUGCUCAAUUAAACUUUACAACCCAAUUUGUAACAAUUUCUAACCUCGAAAGAAAAGUUGACAAAAAUGCCCUCAGGCCUACGUGCCCAGAUUCCAAAAUUUCUCGAAGAUAAAGUUUACCCAUAAACUCACGAACACAAAUAUACGAUUUUUUCUCUAUUCCAUACCCAAAGUCGUGGUAAAAAUUCAAGAACACAAAUUUUCUAGGUCUUCCCUCAAACCCCAAGUGUUCUACAAAUUUCAUACUCAAAUCCAUACAUAAUUGAUGUAUUUAACUCAAAAUAGCUGGGGAUAACUUACCUUCACAUUCAUGAAGAAAAUCCCCGAUAUGAAGCUCUCUAAAAAUCCUCCAUGCUUUGAAGAAAUAAAAAAAAAUGAGCUAAACCUACUAAAAAAACCAUUCUGCCUAGGUAUUUACUCAUCGCAAUCGCGGAAAACAAUUUUCCAGCCCAAAAUUUACUCUUCGCGAUCGCGGAGAAUAAUUUUCCAGACUUCCGGACAGCCUCUCGUAAAAUAGUCAUAACUCUUUGCACAAAAUUCCAAAUGAUGAAUGGUUAAAUGUUAUGACAACUAGACUCAAAGAUAUACAACUUUCACGUGUUGUUAAUUUCCGAAUUCCUUAUAGAUUUCUAGAUAUAAUCUGUCAAAAUCAGUCCAUGUGCAACACAACUUUCUUCUUUAAAUUUCCGGAUACCUUGUAGUGUAAAUUCCAUAUAUCUUUGUACACAAAUCUAAAUCAUGAAUGGUUUACUUUUCUAGAAACUAGAUACAAAGGGAUACACCUUUCUUUUUUACAUCAUCUCAAAAUUCUUUAUAGAUUGUGAGAUAUGAGCCUCCGAAUUCGAGUUAGCGCAGCAGAAUAUUUACUAAUUUCCCGGGAUUGCAUAGAACAGUGCUAUAGCCAAAAACCAGCAGUUAUAAAUGGCCUAAAAAUGGUCUGAAACCACCCCAAAACUCACCCGAGCCCCUCGGGACCCCGUCCGAACGUGCCAACAAGUCUGGAAACAUAUCACGGACUUAGUCGACGCUUCAAAUCACAUCAAACAACGUCGAAAUUCAGAAUCGCUCCAAAAUUCAUCUUUAUGAACUUUGAUAUUUCUAACUUUCAUAUAUGAUGCUGAAACCUGUCAAAUCACGUUCAACUUACCCCAAAUUUUUCACACAAGUCACAUUUGAUAUUACAGACCUAUUCCAACUUCCGGAAUUGGAUUCUGACCCCGAUAUCAAAAAGUCCACCUCCGGUCAAGCUUCUCAAAAACCUUCAAAUUUCUAUCUUUAACCAAAUGGCUCCAAAAUGACCUAUGAACCUCCGAAUUCACUUCUGAUCACGCUCUCAACUCUAGAAUAACCAUACGGAGCUACUCCCAGUCUCAAAAUUCCAAACGGACAUCGAUAACACUGAAAUACACUUCAACCCAAAUUUAUGAAGUUUCUUCCAAAAUGCUAAUUUCCAUAAUAGGCGCCAAAACGCUCCCGGGUCAUCCAAAACACGAUCCGGGCAUACGCCCAAGUCCAAAAUCAUCAAACGAACCUACUGAAACCUUCAGAACCCGAUUCUGAGGUCAUUUACUCAAUUUCAAUCCUAGUUCAUUUCUUCAACUUUGAGUUUUCGAAAUGAUAAUUCUCUUUCCAAAUCAACUCCGAACUUUCCGAAAUUCAAUUCCGACCACGCGUACAAUUCAUAAUACCUUAAAUGAAGCUGCUCAUGGACUCAGACUGCUAAACAACGCGCUAGAACUCAAAAUGACCGAUCGGAUCGUUACAGCCUCUACAACAAUAAUUACUUUAUUUAUUAUAUUAUUUAAUCUGGAAGCAGGAAUGCCGGAAGCGGUAAGGCAGCUAGUGGAUGGAGUUUCGUCAGCGCGAUAGAGUGGACGUAGCAUUUAGGAGUGCGCGGGUGGAGCCCUGCCUCUCACCUUUCGGUUCAUUGCAAGGAAAGACUAAAAAAAAGGAAGCUUUCGGCGGACACAAGCCCUCGGGACUUGACACUUGGACACCGGGAAGCGGGCCCUACGGGCGGGCAUCUCCCGCAACGCAAGCACCAUUGUUCGACACCAGCCGAGAAGCAAAAGAUUCGUCAGUCCAGGCUGAAAAUACAUGCAUAGAUAGAGUAUGACUUAAAAAAAGCAGAAUAUGCCAUCCACAACUGCAAACAACCUAGUACAAACAAAAUAUUGAUAAUAAAAAUGACCUAUCAUCCAAUUACUUAUUUAAGAAAGGAUAUCUAAAAAAUUAUUUAUAUAUGCAAUACAAGAAAACAGAUUAAAUAAAGAGUUAUCAAUAUGUGUUAAUCCCUAGAAAGUUUUAUUUUUUUGCCUCUCCCUCUUCUGAAAUAUAAACAAUAAGGAAGAAUGUUCAUUGACAAGAAAUUUUCCCUAUUUGGGCUCAAGCUAACAAGGUAAUUUUAACUAGAUGGAGCUUCCAUUCAAAUCAUCACCUACAGUAUAUAACUAAUCCCUUCUUGGGCUCUCGUAAUAUAUCCUUAAAAUUCAACCCUACGCCCACAAAUAAUGAAUUAACACCAAUAAUUUAACCUAUCAAUUGCUUACUAAGUUAAACAACAUAUAAUUAGAUAUAUAUUUUCCUAUGUUUAGAAAAGUUUUUACCUCUCUUUAGUCAGCAUCAGUUCUUUGAGUGGUCUAAUUUAGCUUAUUGUUGCAUCAGCUUUUGUAUAGAAUCUGGUAAAACAAAUGACAGACAUGCAAUUAUAUUUUUCCUCAUUUGGUCUAUUGUAGCAUCUGCUUGCGCUCUAUUUCUCUUCUCUCGGAGCAUUUGUCUUUAAAACUUUUCAAAUCAUACUAAUCUAACUUAGGGUCACAUGACUUAAAACUUCUCAACCUACAAAUUCCAGGAAAUAAAACGGUGUUUGGACAUUUAAAGAUCUAUUGAGCUACCAGUAAAACAUCAUAAAGUUUGAUCAUUAUUGUCCAAGUAAACAUUUCUCUUUGCGACAUUUUAUCAAACACGGAAUAGGUUUCUUAAUUUUAUCCUCUAGAAGCAACUUCAAAAAUAAUAUAGAAUACUCAAAUGAUUCAUAAUCAAAUCCUAUCACAAGCAAUACAGUAAAUGGAAAAUGAAGGACUUAAACCAAGCAUCUAUCGUUACAAAAUGAAUAUCAAGCAAAUGCAAAGAUAAAAACGAAAAUCAAAUUUGAGAACAGUUAAUUUCUACCAAAAUGGAAUACAUAAAAUAUUCUAUCUAUAUACGUAUGUGGAUACCAAAUGACAAAUACAAGCAGAAAAAAUUGCAAAAGAAUCGGAAAGGUAACUGACAGUGAUGAAAUAACGAUGAUAGUGGUAAGGCAGAGGGUUUCGAUCUAUAACUAGUUAAUCGGGCUUUGUCAAUGUUGUAACGUCGGUGUCCAUCAUUUCUCUUCUUUUUUGGUUGCUGCUAUUAUCUUC